rnacentral:rRNA from 1 species
UGGGGGAUAUUGCACAAUGGGCGAAAGCCUGAUGCAGCGACGCCGCGUGGGGGAUGAAGGCCUUCGGGUUGUAAACUUCUUUUGCUCUGAACAAGGCGCACCAUGGGGUGUGUUGAGUGUAGGGGUUGAUUAGCGCCGGCUAACUACGUGCCAGCAGCCGCGGUAAUACGUAGGGCGCGAGCGUUGUCCGGAAUUAUUGGGCGUAAAGGGCUUGUAGGUGGCUGGUUGCGUCUGUCGUGAAAGCUCAUGGCUUAACUGUGGGUUUGCGGUGGGUACGGGCUGGCUUGAGUGAAGUAGGGGAGGCUGGAAUUCCUGGUGUGGCGGUGGAAUGCGCGGAUAUCAGGAGGAAUACCGGUGGCGAAGGCGGGUCUCUGGGCUGUUACUGACACUGAGGAGCGAAAGCAUGGGGAGCGAACAGG